rnacentral:rRNA from 1 species
UGGGGAAUUUUGGACAAUGGGCGAAAGCCUGAUCCAGCAAUGCCGCGUGUGUGAAGAAGGCCUUCGGGUUGUAAAGCACUUUUGUCCGGAAAGAAAUCCUUGGCUCUAAUACAGUCGGGGGAUGACGGUACCGGAAGAAUAAGCACCGGCUAACUACGUGCCAGCAGCCGCGGUAAUACGUAGGGUGCAAGCGUCAAUCGGAAUUACUGGGCGUAAAGCGUGCGCAGGCGGUUUGCUAAGACCGAUGUGAAAUCCCCGGGCUCAACCUGGGAACUGCAUUGGUGACUGGCAGGCUAGAGUAUGGCAGAGGGGGGUAGAAUUCCACGUGUAGCAGUGAAAUGCGUAGAGAUGUGGAGGAAUACCGAUGGCGAAGGCAGCCCCCUGGGCCAAUACUGACGCUCAUGCACGAAAGCGUGGGGAGCAAACAGGAUUAGAUACCCUGGUAGUCCACGCCCUAAACGAUGUCAACUAGUUGUUGGGGACCUCAUUUCCUUAGUAACGUAGCUAACGCGUGAAGUUGACCGCCUGGGGAGU